CCAUUCACUACACACCUGUCCAUUAUUGCAUCAUUACUUGAUCUGUUUGAAAGGUUUUGGCAAGGAUUCUCUCAGACCAAGAGCAAUGCAUUGUUCUGAAUGGUGAGCACGCUGAGAACUCCAUUUGUACCCUAGAAUGCGCACAGAAAGUAUGCUGGGUAACAAAGAAGAAACGAACUGUGCCUUCAGUGCAUUCUCCAGACUUAUCUUCCCAUAGAAAUAAACUUCAAGAUUACUGCCACAUCCAAAUCUAUUAUGCAUAUCCAAGAAACCAACAAAUACAGAAGACUACUGGAUGGUUAUAGUUAUCCACAGACACUGCUGGCACCGGGGGCAGCCCCACGGCAGUCCCAGCAACAGAGGCCCGAAACUUGAAGAGGGUGUCGAGGCCACACCUGCUGCUCCAGUCAUUGCUGUGUGGGCACAAAGAACCGUCAAAUGUUUGGGAAUUAAUCCUUUUGCCUGUGCUGGCUCUGGCACUCUGGUAUUUGCAAAUAAAUAUUAACAAGUUAUUUGGGGUACUAGGAUGAGCGCUUUCACUUUCCUAUCCACUUCUCUGUGUUCACA
rnacentral:lncRNA from 1 species